rnacentral:lncRNA from 12 species
GGCCAAAAGUGGCCUGGUUUAAUUUCAGGGGGACCAGGGGUGCUACACUGCUGUUUCUAACAUCACCAUUCAUUUUGACUGUGCUGCAACAACAGGUUACUUAUUAUGUGUAUGUAAUUGGGGUAUUUUUAUUAGUUGAUGGAAAGAUAGCUGUGUAAUUAAUGGACUGGGUAAUUUGUUCUAACAAUAAGCCAUAUUGUGACAUGACUGUUAAUCAGAAUUUUACCUUAGAAGAAGAAGAAGAAGCAUUUGCAUUAAAGUCUGUUAGCAGAAUAGAACUCAGGGUUUCUGAGAAAGCUGUGCUUGGCCUUUGGUGAAGACUGGAGAAGGUAGCACCUGUUAGCACGAACAAAUGAAGAUGGUGUGUCGCUGCUGUUUAUGUGACAGAGGAGGAGCAUUAUAAACCUGUCACUUCUUGCAUUAACACACUUCCCAAGUGCACAGAGCUGGUAUAAAAAAUAUGGAACUACAAAUGGUUAAAUCCCACCCAGCCUUUGACAUGAGUACUCUUUCUUAGCACGUAAGUAAUGUGAAUGUUAUGUUGCACAAAUACUUAGAGCUUCAUUUACCCUCAUCUUCUUUUCAUUAUUUGCAGGAGGUCUUGUUCUCUGAUGGUGAUCCUGGAAAACACAAAGUGGAUAUUAUUCUUAUCUCUGCUGCUGAUAUUUACUGCUGAUAACCAGACUCAGUGAAACAGGAACAAAUGUUUGUUCCAUAAUCCUCCUGCAACUGCUGCCUUCGUUAGAAAUGGAGAGCACAGAGAUCAAGUCUGCCAUUCGCCAGCAGCAUGUUUCCAGUUUCUGUUUAUACAGAACUCACAAGCAACUGGAUAUUAAUAUUAACCUGGACCUGGGCUGAAAUAUAUUUUUUUUGCUUCUUGGGAUAUUCCGUGCUCAGAAGGCUGGGAAGUAUGCAUGAGCAGAUUGUCUUGCCAGCUGGAAUUCCCCAGGGCCCUGGGGGAGACGCUGAAGAAGAGG